CAAGGAUACCUUUCCUUUUCUCACCUCACCGUUUCGGGCCUAAUUCUCAUCUACCUCCAAUCUGCAACUCCAAUUCCUUAAAUCCACUGUCUCCAUCGAACAUCUCCACCUUCUAAAUCUUGAUCAUCGAUCGAGGCUGUUUUGUUGCAAUUGUAGCCGAAGCCGGCGAAUCAGAAGAAGCCCUUGAUCUCAGACCAAUUUAGACCCGAUCCUUCAAUGUCCAGUACUACGCGGAGAGGAAUACCAGUUUGAAGAAUUUGUGCAGGCGGAUUCCGAACUUCGCUCCCCAGAAGCAGGAGGUCCAAAACAUCACAGUGCACUCCCACUGGUACUGCACUGCUCAGACUUGUUUGGUUUACAAUAGCAAUCCUAAGCUUGAUGUCAACUAUUCUGCCGUGGAAAACUGAAGUUAUCUCGAAGAAAGUAGUCAUUGCACUUGGCAAGAGUGUAGCUGGAAGUAUCAAAGAGUAAGUUCAGAGUAUGGCAUAGGAAUGGAGGUGUCAACAAGUGGUGACAUCUAUAGCUAUGAAAUCCUGCUAUUUGAGAUGCUGAUAGGCAAGAGAUUGAUAUAUGACAUGUUUAAAGACGACCUGAACUUGCAUAAAUUUGUCAAAUAAGGCUUUGGCCUCCUUAUCCUUUUGGAUGGUGAUCAGAGCUGAGUCUUCUAGCCAUCCCAGGUAAUCACUUCAUCUUGAUUUUCUAUCUCCAAUAAAAUACUAUUCGUUCACCCAAUUUUUAGGAGUUGUGUGUUUAAUUUGUUGUCUUUUCUCAGCCAGCUUUUGAGCAACAGCACUUGGAGCCUAUUAUUGAAGAGGAGCUUUUGAACGAGCACAUGGACACUAUUGAAGAGGUUUGACAUGUAAAACAAGAAACUUUCAACUAUGUCAUUUUUUUUGUUUACUGAUAAUCUGAUAUUAGUGUGCUUUGUUUAGUGUACGACUGGCUUUGAUUGUCCAACAAGAUGCUACCAGUCUACUUUGUUCUUGGGAUUUUAUGAUCUGUACCUAAAAUUAUGCCUGACCGGGACGGCUAGAAGACUGGGCUCUGAUCAAGAUGCUACCAGUAGACUUUGUUUGUGGGAUUUUGUGAUUUUUACUAAUUUUGAAUGCUAUGGAAACUUCUCUAAGUAUAUCAUGUCUUUAUUCAUUUGAAAUUCAGCUUCACCCAACCAUUCAAUUACACUGCUCAAUCUCAUCA